UACGUAGGGUGCAAGCGUUGUCCGGAAUUAUUGGGCGUAAAGAGCUCGUAGGCGGUUUGUUGCGUCGGCUGUGAAAUCCCGAGGCUCAACCUCGGGUCUGCAGUCGAUACGAGCAAACUAGAGUGUUGCAGGGGAGACUGGAAUUCCUGGUGUAGCGGUGAAAUGCGCAGAUAUCAGGAGGAACACCGGUGGCGAAGGCGGGUCUCUGGGGCAACAACUGACGCUGAGGAGCGAAAGCGUGGGGGAGCGAACAGG
rnacentral:rRNA from 1 species